rnacentral:tRNA from 1 species
GCAUUGGUGGUUCAGUGGUAGAAUUCUCGCCUGCCACGCGGGAGGCCCGGGUUCGGAUUCCAGCCCAUGCA